rnacentral:rRNA from 1 species
UACAGAGGUCUCAAGCGUUGUUCGGAUUCAUUGGGCGUAAAGGGUGUGUAGGUGGCGCCGUAAGUCGGGUGUGAAAUUUCGGAGCUUAACUCCGAAACUGCAUUCGAUACUGCGGUGCUUGAGGACUGGAGAGGAGACUGGAAUUCAUGGUGUAGCGGUGAAAUGCGCAGAUAUCAGGAGGAACACCGGUGGCGAAGGCGGGUCUCUGGGCCGAUACUGACGCUGAGGCGCGAAAGCCAGGGGAGCAAACGGG